CCUACGGGAGGCAGCAGUAGGGAAUAUUGCUCAAUGGGGGAAACCCUGAAGCAGCAACGCCGCGUGGAGGAUGAAGGUUUUCGGAUUGUAAACUCCUUUUGUUAGAGAAGAUAAUGACGGUAUCUAACGAAUAAGCACCGGCUAACUCCGUGCCAGCAGCCGCGGUAAUACGGAGGGUGCAAGCGUUACUCGGAAUCACUGGGCGUAAAGAGCGCGUAGGCGGGAUAGCAAGUCAGAUGUGAAAUCCUAGGGCUUAACCAUAGAACUGCAUUUGAAACUGUUAUUCUAGAGUAUGGGAGGGGUAGGUGGAAUUCUUGGUGUAGGGGUAAAAUCCGUAGAGAUCAAGAGGAAUACUCAUUGCGAAGGCGACCUGCUAGAACAUAACUGACGCUGAUGCGCGAAAGCGUGGGGAGCAAACAGGAUUAGAUACCCCAGUAGUC
rnacentral:rRNA from 1 species